UACGGAAGAUGCGAGCGUUAUCCGGAUUUAUUGGGUUUAAAGGGAGCGUAGGCGGUUCCAUAAGUCAGCGGUAAAAUCGUGCGGCUCAACCGUACCGUGCCGUUGAAACUGUGGGACUUGAGUAUGCGCAGGGUACAUGGAAUUCGUGGUGUAGCGGUGAAAUGCUUAGAUAUCACGAAGAACUCCGAUCGCGAAGGCAUUGUACCGGAGCAAGACUGACGCUGAGGCUCGAAAGUGCGGGUAUCAAACAG
rnacentral:rRNA from 1 species